rnacentral:misc_RNA from 1 species
GAUGAAGAACGUAGCGAAAUGCGAUAAGUAGUGUGAAUUGCAGAAUUCAGUGAAUCAUCGAAUCUUUGAACGCACAUUGCGCCCCAUGGUAUUCCGUGGGGCAUGCCUGUUCGAGCGUCAUUUACCCCCUCAAGCUCCGCUUGGUGUUGGCGUCUGUCCCGCUUCGCGCGCGGACUCGCCCCAAAGGUAUUGGCAGCGGUCGUGCCAGCUUCUCGCGCAGCACAUUGCGCUUCUCGAGGCACCGGUGGGCCCGCGUCCAUCAAGCUCACCCCCCCAGUUUGACCUCGGAUCAGGUAGGGAUACCCGCUGAACUUAAGCAUAUCAAUAAGCGGAGGA